CACGUAGGGCGCAAGCGUUGUCCGGAAUUAUUGGGCGUAAAGAGCUCGUAGGCGGUCUGUUGCGUCCGCUGUGAAAACUCGGGGCUUAACCCCGAGCCUGCAGUGGAUACGGGCAGACUAGAGGUAGGUAGGGGAGAAUGGAAUUCCCGGUGUAGCGGUGAAAUGCGCAGAUAUCGGGAGGAACACCGGUGGCGAAGGCGGUCUCUCGGCGA
rnacentral:rRNA from 1 species